UAGUAACGGCGAGUGAAGCGGGAUGAGCUCAAGCUUAAAAUCUCUGUGCCAGUUUGGCAUGGCGAAUUGUAGUCUAUGGAGGCGCUGUCAGUGCGAUUGUUCGGGGUAAGUUCCUUGGAAGAGGACAGCAUCGAGGGUGAUACUCCCGUAUGUACCUGUUCAGUCGCGCGUACGACACGUUUUCUUCGAGUCGCGUUGUUUGGGAAUGCAGCGCAAAGUAGGUGGUAAAUUCCAUCUAAAGCUAAAUAUUGGUGCGAGACCGAUAGCGAACAAGUACCGUGAGGGAAAGAUGAAAAGAACUUUGAAAAGAGAGUUAAAGAGUACCUGAAACUGCUGAAAGGGAACCGAAUCGUUUCCAGUGUCUAUAAUCCAUGGUAUAUUUCAUUGGCGCGUGAGUGCGUGCAGCGUUUUGGAAGCGGUCUCCGCUCCUGUCGUUGUUGUGCAUUUGCUUGCUGGUGCCCUGUGCUGUGGUGGGACGUCAGAGUCAGUUUGUAUGUUGCGGGAAAUGGUUAUCAGGGAGGUAGGUCGCUUCGGUGGCUGUUAUAUCCUGGUAACUAGUCGUCGUGGCUGAGACUGAGGUGCCUACAACGCGCUUUCGAGUCUGCGGGCUUCUCGUGUGGCUGUUUGCUUUGAUAGCUUGCUAUGUUGGCGAAUAAGUCGUGCGAUUGAGACCUGUAGUAACUUGUUGCCGUUC
rnacentral:rRNA from 1 species